CACGCUCAAGCACGUAUAAUUGACAUUCACUUUGAACUUUAUGCAAAUAACUUAGUGUUCGUGCAAGUAGAAUACAAGCUAAAAGAAACAGGAAAAUUCAACAAAAGAUUAUACGACUAGAUUUUCACGAUCAGGAGACCCUUAUACAUGCAGCAUGUGAUUUUGUAUGCUGGAUACUUAGUAGUCAAUCAACAUGCCAACAAGUCAAAAGGGGGUCUGGCUGCUUUGAGGGAGGUCGUACUGGCUGCCUGGCUAUUCUAAAAAAGGGCAAUAUCCCAAUUGUUGUCAAGUCUGAUAUUUUAAAGGUAGUUUCUCUAAUUUGAUUAUUUCAAGUACACUAGAGCAGUAGCCAAAUACAUUGUCCAAGUACUGGUUUUAGCCCCAAUUUGCUUGUGAUUGAGGUGUAGUAGUAGUGUGGCCUAGUGGUUAAUGAAGUGGGGGUGGCGGGGGAAAGGGGAGAGAACCAUGAGGUAUUCUCAUUCGGUGGGCAAAGUUACCCAAAACUUGUGGGGUGGGAGAGAUACAGUGAAACCUCUCUAUAAGGUGUUUUUUUUCCAGAUAUAUUUAGAGAACAUAUAAUAUACCAUAACAUGAAAGCAGGUUUUAAAGAAAACUCAGCCAUUAUAGUGAAAUGUUAUAAAGGAUGGUUUUAUAGAGAGGUCUGACUGUGAGGGUCGAUCGUAUUAGUCAGUGCAAGUGAAAUUUUGUAUGGAAAAGCUAUUAUUCCGUAGAGUGAAUCUUUUAUAUGUCUUUGACCCGGAAAUAUUUCACUUUGUGGGAAUCCACUGGGUAUGUUUUUGUUGACCUGGAAAUAUUAUAUUCACUAUUUGGAAUUGAUGUAGCACAAUGUUUAGAGGAACUCUCUAAUGUGCUAAAUAAAGUAAACCACACAAUUUGUUGAAGGAACAACUUCAAUGUGUUGUAAGAUAACGCUUUAAAGACAAUCCGAAUUCACGGAUAACAAGAGCUUAAUCCAAUACCCUUAAAAUACAAGAUCUAAUCCAAAAUCUUAAAAGAAAACACAAAGUUUCAUUAAUAGAAGAGUGAGU
rnacentral:lncRNA from 1 species